rnacentral:rRNA from 1 species
GAUGAACGCUGGCGGCGUGCCUAAUACAUGCAAGUCGAGCGAACGGACGAGAAGCUUGCUUCUCUGCUGUUAGCGGCGGACGGGUGAGUAACACGUGGAUAACCUACCUAUAAGACUGGGAUAACUUCGGGAAACCGGAGCUAAUACCGGAUAAUAUUUUGAACCGCAUGGUUCAAAAGUGAAAGACGGUCUUGCUGUCACUUAUAGAUGGAUCCGCGCUGCAUUAGCUAGUUGGUAAGGUAACGGCUUACCAAGGCAACGAUGCAUAGCCGACCUGAGAGGGUGAUCGGCCACACUGGAACUGAGACACGGUCCAGACUCCUACGGGAGGCAGCAGUAGGGAAUCUUCCGCAAUGGGCGAAAGCCUGACGGAGCAACGCCGCGUGAGUGAUGAAGGUCUUCGGAUCGUAAAACUCUGUUAUUAGGGAAGAAAAUAUGUGUAAGUAACUGUGGACAUCUUGACGGUACCUAAACAGAAAGCCCCGGCUAACUACGUG